rnacentral:rRNA from 1 species
AGCGAACGCUGGCGGCAGGCUUAACACAUGCAAGUCGAGCGGGCGUAGCAAUACGUCAGCGGCAGACGGGUGAGUAACGCGUGGGAACAUACCUUUUGGUUCGGAACAACACAGGGAAACUUGUGCUAAUACCGGAUAAGCCCUUACGGGGAAAGAUUUAUCGCCGAAAGAUUGGCCCGCGUCUGAUUAGCUAGUUGGUGAGGUAACGGCUCACCAAGGCGACCAUCAGUAGCUGGCUGAGAGGAUGAUCAGCCACAUUGGGACUGAGACACGGCCCAGACUCCUACGGGAGGCAGCAGGUGGGGAAUAUUGGACAAUGGGCGCAAGCCUGAUCCAGCCAUGCCGCGUGAGUGACGAAGGUCUUCGGAUU